UACGGAGGGAGCUAGCGUUGUUCGGAAUUACUGGGCGUAAAGCGUACGUAGGCGGCUUUGUAAGUUAGAGGUGAAAGCCCGGGGCUCAACUCCGGAACUGCCUUUAAGACUGCAUCGCUUGAAUCCAGGAGAGGUGAGUGGAAUUCCGAGUGUAGAGGUGAAAUUCGUAGAUAUUCGGAAGAACACCAGUGGCGAAGGCGGCUCACUGGACUGGUAUUGACGCUGAGGUGCGAAAGCGUGGGGAGCAAACAGG
rnacentral:rRNA from 1 species